rnacentral:rRNA from 1 species
AGAGUUUGAUCCUGGCUCAGGAUGAACGCUAGCGGCAGGCUUAACACAUGCAAGUCGAGGGGCAGCAUGGGGAGUAGCAAUACUCUCUGAUGGCGACCGGCGCAAGGGUGCGUAACGCGUGAGCAACUUGCCCUCAUCAGGGGAAUAAUCGCUGGAAACGGCGUCUAAUGCCCCAUGGCGAUGGAAUCAGGCAUCUGGUUCCAUCUAAAGAUCCGUCGGAUGAGGAUAGGCUCGCGUGACAUUAGCUUGACGGCGGGGUAACGGCCCACCGUGGCGACGAUGUCUAGGGGUUCUGAGAGGAAGGUCCCCCACACUGGAACUGAGACACGGUCCAGACUCCUACGGGAGGCAGCAGUGAGGAAUAUUGGUCAAUGGCCGGAAGGCUGAACCAGCCAUGCCGCGUGAAGGUCAGUGCCCUAUGGGCGUUAAACUUCUUUUGUGCGGGAGCAAUAAGGUCCACGUGUGGACCGACGAGAGUACCGUACGAAUAAGCAUCGGCUAACUCCGUGCCAGCAGCCGCGGUAAUACGGGGGAUGCAAGCGUUAUCCGGAUUUAUUGGGUUUAAAGGGUGCGUAGGCUGUGAGGUAAGUCAGCGGUGAAAUGCCCCCGCUCAACGGGGUGAAGUGCCAUUGAUACUGCCUUGCUGGAAUGCGGAUGCCGUGGGAGGAAUGUGUGGUGUAGCGGUGAAAUGCAUAGAUAUCACACAGAACACCGAUUGCGAAGGCAUCUCACGAAUCCGCGAUUGACGCUGAUGCACGAAAGCGUGGGUAUCAAACAGGAUUAGAUACCCUGGUAGUCCACGCUGUAAACGAUGAUGACUAACCGUCGGCGAUACACAGUCGGUGGCCAAGCGAAAGCGAUAAGUCAUCCACCUGGGGAGUACGGCCGCAAGGCUGAAACUCAAAGGAAUUGACGGGGGCCCGCACAAGCGGAGGAACAUGUGGUUUAAUUCGAUGAUACGCGAGGAACCUUACCCGGGCUCGAACGGCAGCUGAAUAUUCCAGAGAUGGGAUAGUCUUCGGACAGUUGUCGAGGUGCUGCAUGGUUGUCGUCAGCUCGUGCUGUGAAGUGUCGGCUUAAGUGCCAUAACGAGCGCAACCCUUGCCUUCAGUUGCCAUCAGGUUAAGCUGGGGACUCUGGAGGGACUGCCACCGCAAGGUGCGAGGAAGGGGGGGAUGACGUCAAAUCAGCACGGCCCUUACGUCCGGGGCGACACACGUGUUACAAUGGCAGGUACAGCGGGAAGCCACCUGGCGACAGGGCGCGGAACCCGAAAACCUGUCUCAGUUCGGAUUGGAGUCUGCAACCCGACUCCAUGAAGCUGGAUUCGCUAGUAAUCGCGCAUCAGCCACGGCGCGGUGAAUACGUUCCCGGGCCUUGUACACACCGCCCGUCAAGCCAUGGGAG